rnacentral:rRNA from 1 species
ACAAGCGGUGGAGCAUGUGGUUUAAUUCGAAGCUACGCGAAGAACCUUACCAGGUCUUGACAUCUUGCGCUAACCUAAGAGAUUAGGCGUUCCCUUCGGGGACGCAAUGACAGGUGGUGCAUGGUCGUCGUCAGCUCGUGUCGUGAGAUGUUGGGUUAAGUCCCGCAACGAGCGCAACCCUUGUUACUAGUUGCCAGCAUUUAGUUGGGCACUCUAGUGAGACUGCCGGUGACAAACCGGAGGAAGGUGGGGACGACGUCAGAUCAUCAUGCCCCUUAUGACCUGGGCUACACACGUGCUACAAUGGACGGUACAACGAGUUGCGAACUCGCGAGAGUAAGCUAAUCUCUUAAAGCCGUUCUCAGUUCGGACUGUAGGCUGCAACUCGCCUACACGAAGUCGGAAUCGCUAGUAAUCGCGGAUCAGCAUGCCGCGGUGAAUACGUUCCCGGGCCUUGU